rnacentral:rRNA from 1 species
UGGGGAAUUUUGGACAAUGGGCGAAAGCCUGAUCCAGCAAUGCCGCGUGUGUGAAGAAGGCCUUCGGGUUGUAAAGCACUUUUGUCCGGAAAGAAAUGGCUCUGGUUAAUACCUGGGGUCGAUGACGGUACCGGAAGAAUAAGGACCGGCUAACUACGUGCCAGCAGCCGCGGUAAUACGUAGGGUCCAAGCGUUAAUCGGAAUUACUGGGCGUAAAGCGUGCGCAGGCGGUUGUGCAAGACCGAUGUGAAAUCCCCGAGCUUAACUUGGGAAUUGCAUUGGUGACUGCACGGCUAGAGUGUGUCAGAGGGGGGUAGAAUUCCACGUGUAGCAGUGAAAUGCGUAGAGAUGUGGAGGAAUACCGAUGGCGAAGGCAGCCCCCUGGGAUAACACUGACGCUCAUGCACGAAAGCGUGGGGAGCAAACAGGAUUAGAUACCCUGGUAGUCCACGCCCUAAACGAUGUCAACUAGUUGUUGGGGAUUCAUUUCCUUAGUAACGUAGCUAACGCGUGAAGUUGACCGCC